AGUGAACGCUGGCGGUAGGCCUAACACAUGCAAGUCGAACGGCAGCACAGUAAGAGCUUGCUCUUACGGGUGGCGAGUGGCGGACGGGUGAGGAAUACAUCGGAAUCUACUUUUUCGUGGGGGAUAACGUAGGGAAACUUACGCUAAUACCGCAUACGACCUACGGGUGAAAGCAGGGGAUCUUCUGACCUUGCGCGAUUGAAUGAGCCGAUGUCGGAUUAGCUAGUUGGCGGGGUAAAGGCCCACCAAGGCGACGAUCCGUAGCUGGUCUGAGGGGAUGAUCAGCCACACUGGAACUGAGACACGGUCCAGACUCCUACGGGAGGCAGCAGUGGGGAAUAUUGGACAAUGGGCGCAAGCCUGAUCCAGCCAUACCGCGUGGGUGAAGAAGGCCUUCGGGUUGUAAAGCCCUUUUGUUGGGAAAGAAAAGCAGCAGGUUAAUACCCCGCUGUUCUGACGGUACCCAAAGAAUAAGCACCGGCUAACUUCGUG
rnacentral:rRNA from 1 species